rnacentral:rRNA from 1 species
CCCUUAGAUGUUCUGGGCCGCACGCGCGCUGCACUGAUGAACGCAACGAGACCACCUGUACCGAAAGGCAUGGGUAAACUUGUGAAAGUUCAUCGUGAUGGGGAUAGAUUAUUGCAAUUAUUAAUCUUCAACGAGGAAUUCCUAGUAAGCGCGAGUCAUCAGCUCGCGUUGAUUACGUCCCUGCCCUUUGUACACACCGCCCGUCGCUCCUACCGAUUGAAUGGUCCGGUGAAAUCUUCGGAUUGCUGGAUAGGACUUCAUUGACCUAUCUGCGAGAAGUUGCUUGAACCUUAUCAUUUAGAGGAAGGAGAANUCGUANCA